rnacentral:rRNA from 1 species
GAUGAACGCUAGCGGGAGGCCUAACACAUGCAAGCCGAGCGGUAUUGUUUCUUCGGAAAUGAGAGAGCGGCGUACGGGGGCGGAACACGUGUGCAAGCUGCCCUUAUCUGGGGGAUAGCCUGUCGAAAGGAAGAUGUAUACUCCAUAACACAUUGAACGGACUCGUCUAAUAUUGAAAGCCAUGGCGGAUAGAUAUGGGCACGCGCAAGAGUAGCUAGGUGGUGAGGUAACGGCUCACGAAGGCGAUGAUCUUUAGGGUGCCGGAGAGGGUGGUCCCCCACACUGGUACUGAGACACGGACCAGACUCCUACGGGAGGCAGCAGUGAGGAAUAUUAGUCAAUGGGUGCAAGCCUGAACCAGCCAUCCCGCGUGAAGGACGACUGCCCUAUGGGUUGUAAACUUCUUUUGUAUAGGGAUAAACCUACCCUCGUGAGGGUAGCUGAAGGUACUAUACGAAUAAGCACCGGCUAACUCCGUGCCAGCCGCCGCAGUAAGAC